GCGGGGAUGCUGGAAUGGCAGACAGGCAAGACUAAGGAUCUUGUGUCGGUUACGACGUGAGGGUUCAAGUCCCUUUUCCCGCA
rnacentral:tRNA from 1 species